rnacentral:rRNA from 1 species
ACUCAAAGGAAUAGACGGGGGCCCGCACAAGCGGUGGAGCAUGGGGAUUAAUUCGUCACUAACCGAAGAACCUUACCAGGGUUUGACAUCCGCGGUAAGUCCGUGAAAGCGGUACCCUCCGGAGCAAUCCGGACCGCGAGACAGGUGUUGCAUGGCUGUCGUCAGCUCGUGUCGUGAGAUGUUGGGUUAAGUCCCGCAACGAGCGCAACCCUCACGUGAUGUUGCCAGCGUAAAGUCGGGCACUCUUCACGAACUGCCCGGGUAACCGGGAGGAAGGUGGGGAUGACGUCAAGUCGGCAUGGCCCUUACAUCCUGGGCUUCACCCAUGCUACAAUGGGCGCGACAGAGGGAAGCAAGGCCGCGAGGCGGAGCCAAUCCCAAAAAGGCGCUCUCAGUUCGGAUUGCAGGCUGCAACUCGCCUGCAUGAAGUCGGAAUCGCUAGUAACCGCCGGUCAGCUAAACGGCGGUGAAUACGUUCCCGGGCCUUGUACACACCGCCCGU